CGCGGCUCAGCAUGUUAGGCAUGUAUUUGUUUGAUUAUACAGAGACUUUUUUACCGUUCAUCCACUCUACAUGUCCUCUGCAGGAGGAGGAUGAAGAAGACAUUAUAACAAAAUUCAUAGAUUUACAGGAUCCAACAUGGACACAGUGGCGUGAGUUUCUUGUCAAAUACGUGUUUCUUCCAUAUCUACUUCUUGCUGAGUUUGCAUGGGACUGGCUAGAAAUACAUUACUGGACUUCUCGAUUUAUAAUUCUAAAGGCCAUGAUUAAUUCAAGACGGGAGUUACAUUCAUUUUAUUUACUGUGGAGGGACAGACAAAGAUGGUUCGACUCUCAACUUUUUUUGCGCCUUUUGUGGGUUAUAUCAAACAAUGGAUUUUAUCUUUUCAUCUUAUGGACUAUAACCCCACAAUUUAUCUAUAACUAUGUGUUUUACUUCUCAUUGUAUAUCUACCCAUUCAUUUACAUUUACGAAGUGGUGGUAAAGUUCC